rnacentral:sRNA from 1 species
UUCUCAUCCAAUGACAGGCCUCGUUCUAUGAUGACAUCAUCCCACAAGUUCCAGUGUUAAAAUUGGGCUCCCGAGUUCUUCGUCCUUUUCUACGGGGAAAUGUGUGUGAAGGAUGACCCUUCCCUUUCAGUCUGGAGACGUAGAGAAGGACAUCAUGUAAACCACGUUUUUGUCUUUAAAUCUAAACCAUUAACAAAUGAAAUGAAAUUAGUAUUAUCUGAAGGAAUGUACAAAUACCUGCGUAAAGACUAGAUAAUUUUACAGUAAAGUUAAACACUGGGAGUUUUUCUCAAGCACUCAGUAGGCUAGAGUAAUAGGUAGUAAUGCAGGAAGAAAGAUAAGGCACGAGAACCUUUUAAUACAGUAGGGCCAUCAUGUCACUCCCGAAGAAUAACGUCUAAAAUCCGAGAAGUGAACCUUUUGUGGAAAGUCAUGUGAAAAUCUACUAUUUUGUGAGCUACUUAAAAAUAGACAAAAGAGCUUAAAAUGGAGGUACCCUGAAUGUGUGGAUAGUGCUGCUCCCAGACCAUGGGUUUUAGAAUUAAGAACACAGUGCCACACACAAGAUACCACCCUGUGGAUUGUUGGCCAGAGAGAUCUCAGAGGAUUCUCAAAUAAUGCAAUUGUCAUUCCUCCUGGUUGGCCCCCCAAAACAGAUGGUAAGUCUCCGUUCCUGAAGAUACCACAUAUCUCAGUUACAGGGUACAGAGAAACCAUCGUAGAACAAAGCUGGGGGCUCCUUCCCUUCUAGUGACCAUUCAUUGUGCCAGGAGGUACACAGACUUCUGCUGGAAAAGCAGAGUAGUCAGUGGUCAUACCAAGCUCUAGAGCCAGUGUGAUAAGUUAGUGACCUGCCAGGCCAGGUUUGCCACUGAGGCAAUGCUGACAUGAGUGUUAUGGAGUAACCAACUGCUCUGCAAUCAGAUUUGAGGCCUCUACACAGGAAGGCAUGCACACAGGAUAUGUGAGCUUCCUCAAAACGGUAAAUGGAUGUGUUGUCCAACUGCUUUCUUUUGUACACCUAGACUAGAGCAGCUUCCCGCCUUGGCCAGAGAAUCUACUUUUUACAGAAGUCAACCAUUCGUGCAGAGACUCAUCUGGCCGGAGUAUGAAGGGUCUGUACUGAUCAUAAGCAAAGAGCAGCCAAGGACACCUGCACAAGACGCCUUCAGCAUCCACCAGGGAUGGGGAGCUGCCAUGACACCCAACCCCCUUUGUGAGAGUUGAUGGUUUCCAAUCGAGAGGGCAGCAUUUUCCUCAGUGUUGCAGCCACUGAUAAAUACAGUUGUGGCUAUUGAUUUAAUAUCCCACAAGACUCUGACUGGCUCUGGUUGGGAAGACACUAUAUGGUAAUAAUGCAAAUACCUCAAAUUCAAUAUUUUAAACAAAAAAAUGUACUGAGUGCACUGAAAGAGUGUCUCCUGGACUGCUGCCUGCAGCCUAAGGCGGUAGGUUUUAGUUUUGUCUAUUUACUUAUUACUCAUACAGAGGCUCAUGUGAAUAGCACUGCUUCAAACUCACUAUGUAGCUGGAAAUGACCUUGAGCUCCUAGUCCUUCUCCCCCAUCUCCUCGGUCCUGAGAUUUCCGGUACAUGCCAACAUGCCUGGGAAAAUGCAUAUCUGAAGACUUCAUGUCUUCAUGAUACUUCACCAAUCUAUUCAAUCGCCUGGUUGACUUUGCUAUAUAGUAAUUUAAAGGGUGUUUUUAUUUUAUGCACAAUGUGUAUAAAGUAAGAUUCUUAAUAAAUGACUCAGUAACACAGCACCACGAUCAAGAACAGAGGAUUCAUUCCUGACUCUUGACCUUUCUUCCAGAGGACUUGGGUUCGAUUCCCAGCAUCCACGUAUCAGCUCAGAACCACAAUCCAGAAAAUGGAAAACUCAAUCCAGAAAGUGAGAGAUUUCUUGCUUGGUUUGAAGUAGGUGAAUCCACUUCUAGUCUGGACCUAUGACGUGGGAAGACACACGCCAUUAACCCAGACCUUGAAGUGAGAAGACACGCCUUUAAUAUGGGCCACACCUUUUGCUGGACAUCUAUAUAAGGAGAGAGAAGAAGAAAGCUUUUGCUCUUUGCCUUUUUGCCCUCACCUUGCUAGCACGUCCAUCCCUUCACUGGCAGGAGAGCCUACGUGUUUGAGAUCCCAGCAUCUACUGAAGAGCAACUGAGGCAUCCCGCUUUGUGAACUGAACACUACUGGAUUCUUGGACUUUGCGUCCACAGCCAGCCAUUGUUGGAUUAGCUGGAUGGCAGCCUGCCUUACACAGAGAGAGGCAGCACCUUCUGCCCCACCCUGCUCAGUUCAGAAGACACUGGUAGCGUCAUUUAAGCACUGAAGCAAAUAACACAGCGUACUGCAAGUCAGAGGAGCUUAAGUGGGACUCCAACUAAUCUUUUUUAAGGCUCUGUGUCACUGCCACCUGGCCUUGAAUUUCUCAGGAUGACCUCCCCCAUUGCUGGCACAGGAGGCGCUCAGUCAAUACGCCCGAAUCCAGAUAAAGCACACCAAGCCAACCGGGU